AAGUAUCGCCCUUUUCAGUUCGGCACAAUCGCUUCUAAUCAUACCACCCACAACUGUAAACAUACAUAUAAGCAGGAUGCUCAGGUCUAUCACAUCAGCCGUGUCAAAGCACUUACCCCACUAGCAUUUAUGCCUUCAGGACGCCCGCCGUUUCCUCCGGACUCCCUCGAAUUGAUCCUCCACCACCUGCAGUCCAUCUGCAGAAAUUUUCCUGUGACUCCUUGAGAUCGACCUGCAAGGAUUCGUUCUUUUUUUUUUGGCGUGAGAUUUAUCACUGUAAGCGAGAAGUUUGUUCAUCUCUUCCAACUCGGAAAUUUUAUCCUGCAAUUUCCCCUGAG
rnacentral:sRNA from 1 species